UCCGCAAUCACAGGGACGUUUUAUGCC
rnacentral:piRNA from 1 species